GGGCCCGCACAAGCGGUGGAGCAUGUGGUUUAAUUCGAUGAUACGCGAGGAACCUUACCAGGGCUUAAAUGGGAAAUGACAGGGGCAGAGACGCCCCCUUCUUCGGACAUUUUUCAAGGUGCUGCAUGGUUGUCGUCAGCUCGUGCCGUGAGGUGUCAGGUUAAGUCCUAUAACGAGCGCAACCCCUAUCGUUAGUUGCCAGCGAGUAAUGUCGGGAACUCUAGCGAAACUGCCGGUGCAAACCGUGAGGAAGGUGGGGAUGACGUCAAAUCAUCACGGCCCUUACGUUCUGGCUACACACGUGCUACAAUGGCCGGUACAGAAAGCAGCCACUAUGCGAAUAGGAGCU
rnacentral:rRNA from 1 species